ACAUUUGAGUGAGUGGCGACACUGGUGAGUAACACGUGGGAAACCUGCCCAGAAGCGGGGGAUAACACCUGGAAACAGAUGCUAAUACCGCAUAACAACUUGGACCGCAUGGUCCGAGCUUGAAAGAUGGCUUCGGCUAUCACUUUUGGAUGGUCCCGCGGCGUAUUAGCUAGAUGGUGGGGUAACGGCUCACCAUGGCAAUGAUACGUAGCCGACCUGAGAGGGUAAUCGGCCACAUUGGGACUGAGACACGGCCCAAACUCCUACGGGAGGCAGCAGUAGGGAAUCUUCCACAAUGGACGAAAGUCUGAUGGAGCAACGCCGCGUGAGUGAAGAAGGGUUUCGGCUCGUAAAACUCUGUUGUUAAAGAAGAACAUAUCUGAGAGUAACUGUUCAGGUAUUGACGGUAUUUAACCAGAAAGCCACGGCUAACUACGUGCCAGCAGCCGCGGUAAUACGUAGGUGGCAAGCGUUGUCCGGAUUUAUUGGGCGUAAAGCGAGCGCAGGCGGUUUUUUAAGUCUGAUGUGAAAGCCUUCGGCUCAACCGAAGAAGUGCAUCGGAAACUGGGAAACUUGAGUGCAGAAGAGGACAGUGGAACUCCAUGUGUAGCGGUGAAAUGCGUAGAUAUAUGCGGUGAACGGAUGGCGACGCGGCUGUCUGGUCUGUACUGACGCUGAGGCUCGAAAGUAUGGGUAGCAAACAGGAUUAUAUACCCUGGUAGUCCAUACCGUAAACGAUGAAUGCUAAGUGUUGGAGGGUUUCCGCCCUUCAGUGCUGCAGCUAACGCAUUAAGCAUUCCGCCUGGGGAGUACGGCCGCAAGGCUGAAACUCAAAGGAAUUGACGGGGGCCCGCACAAGCGGUGGAGCAUGUGGUUUAAUUCGAAGCUACGCGAAGAACCUUACCAGGUCUUGACAUACUAUGCAAAUCUAAGAGAUUAGACGUUCCCUUCGGGGACAUGGAUACAGGUGGUGCAUGGUUGUCGUCAGCUCGUGUCGUGAGAUGUUGGGUUAAGUCCCGCAACGAGCGCAACCCUUAUUAUCAGUUGCCAGCAUUAAGUUGGGCACUCUGGUGAGACUGCCGGUGACAAACCGGAGGAAGGUGGGGAUGACGUCAAAUCAUCAUGCCCCUUAUGACCUGGGCUACACACGUGCUACAAUGGAUGGUACAACGAGUUGCGAACUCGCGAGAGUAAGCUAAUCUCUUAAAGCCAUUCUCAGUUCGGAUUGUAGGCUGCAACUCGCCUACAUGAAGUCGGAAUCGCUAGUAAUCGCGGAUCACCAUGCCGCGGUGAAUACGUUCCCGGGGCUUGUACACACCGCCCGUCACACCAUGAGAGUUUGUAACACCCAAAGUCAGUGAGGUAACCUUUUAAGAACCAGCCGCCUCAACGUGGGACAGAUGAUUAGGGUGAAGUCGUAACAUGGUAGCCCGUAGACGGCGUUCGCUCUGAGCCAUGAAUAA
rnacentral:rRNA from 1 species